rnacentral:misc_RNA from 1 species
UCGCCAGUUCUGCAAAACAGGCUGAUAGAAUAAGUAUGAAAAAUAAGUACUGAGGUUGAUUUGUUAGAUUAAAACUCUUCAAUGUAGUGCUCCAGCAUGACUGCAGUUCAGUGACCGAAACACAGAAGAUAAGAGAUAUCUUAUACAUAGAAAGAGGGAGGAGCGUAGCGCAUUUACAUCCAUACAAAUAUGCUCCACAGUUAAACAUAUAAAGCGGGGUUAGAAAAUAGCAGGCGUCAGUUAGUGAAAGAGCACCGAUCUGUGUUCAGUUGCGAUAACUGAUUUGAUACGAAGUCUUCUCUCACCGGUCACUUUUCCAAGUUUUUUUCGACUAUCACAAUGGCAACUACCUGUCUUCUAAGAUAUGUCCAGAAGGCAUAUUCCAGAGUACCUGCAAGAGCUUUCUCAUCCUUAGUGGAUCUUCCAGACACACACAAAAUGCUGCAAGAAACAUGUCAUGAAUUUGCUGAGAAAGAGUUGAUGCCAGUAGCUGCUGAAAUUGACAAAUUAAAGAAGUUCCCAGCAGAACAGAUAAAAAAACUCGGGGACCUUGGACUUUUGGCUAUUACUAUACCUUCAGAAGAUGGUGGCACUGGAUUAGAUUCUCUUGCUUAUGCUAUAGCAAUGGAAGAGAUUAGUCGUGGUUGUGCUACAUGUGGAGUUAUUAUGAGUGUCAAUAAUUCUCUUUACUUAGCACCAAUUAAAGACUUUGGAAAUUCAUCACAGAAAAAAGAAUACAUCUCAUCUUACAUAGAUGGAGAUAAAAUAGGAUGUUUUGCCUUAAGUGAACCAGGUAAUGGGAGUGAUGCAGCUGCAGCAUCAACAGUUGCACACCUGCAUGGUGACCAUUGGGUGCUAAAUGGUACCAAGUCAUGGAUCACCAAUGGCUAUGAAGCUUCAGCAGCAAUUGUUUUUGCAACAACAGACAAAGCUAAGAAACACAAGGGUAUAAGUGCAUUUAUUGUACCAACAUCUUCUGAAGGGUUUUCUCUUGGGAAAAAAGAAGACAAACUUGGCAUCAGGGGUUCUUCAACAUGUAAUUUAAUUUUUGAUGAUUGCAAAAUUCCUAAAGAAAAUAUCCUUGGUCCAGAAGGAGCUGGUUUUAAAAUUGCUAUGCAAGUUCUUGACGGUGGUAGAAUUGGUAUUGCUGCUCAAGCUGUCGGAAUAGCUCAGGCUGCAAUGGAUUGUGCUGUGGCAUAUUCUCUUAAAAGAGAAGCAUUUGGAGCCCCAAUUGCUAAAUUACAAGCUGUUCAGAUGAAAUUAGCUGACAUGGCAUCCAAAAUUGAUUCUUCUCGUCUUCUUUUAUGGAGAGCUGCUAUGUUAAAGGAUGCUAAAAGACCUUUUUCAAAGGAAUCAGCCAUGGCUAAGUUAGUUGCUUCAGAAGCUGCAACUGCUGUUAGUCACCAGGCAAUCCAAGUUCUUGGAGGAAUGGGAUAUGUUUCUGAUAUGCCUGCAGAGCGCCAUUAUAGAGAUGCAAGAAUUACUGAAAUCUAUGAAGGAACAAGUGAAAUUCAACGUCUUGUUAUUGCAGGAAGCCUAAUCAAAGAAUAUCAGCAGAUGAAUCUUUGAAUCUUUACUGCAGAACAACAACUAAUAAACUAAUGAUUUGUGGUAACAUUAAUAUUUUUUUCAAUAAAAUAAGAAACAAUUUAACCAAAGAUUUCAAUUUAAAUGAUGGGAGUAAAAAAUGGGCAUUUGAUAUUGCACUUGUACAUUUUAAUGGUGAGUAUUUCAGAGAAAAACGUUUAGUUCUUUGAGUGGCGCACUGAUAUGAAGACAAAAUGAGUGUGAGGUUAAGGUGCUGGACUACUAACAACUUUAUCAAAGGUUCCAAUCUUAUGAUUGUUAUUGUAUUGUCUCUAAGCAAGGGACUUAACCACUGCCUGUUCAAACUUACCUGACCAAACAAA